GGAGAGGAUCCUGCCCUCUACUCAGCCCUAGUGAAGCCACAUCUGGAGUGCUGUGUCCACUUCUGGGCUCCUGGGUGCUGGAGAGACUUGAG